UCCAAAUGAACAUUCGUCAAGUACCGACGUGGGACGUUUAAGGUGGAGACGGAUAGAGCUAGCGUAUCUAGCUUGUAUUCAGCCGCUUUGGUCUAGGUGCCCUGUCUGCUGGUCCGGCUUCGGCCAGUUGGUGGGUGUCUCCUGGGCCUUGGCGGUGCAUUUGCAAGUGGAGUGCGCUGAGGCCUGUGUGGCAGCGGUUGGAAGUGCGCCUUGAGGAUACCCUUCGGGGUAAAACCCGGGCGUACCAAAGACUGUUUGCCCUGCUUGUACAAUGGGCGAGGCCAACGGGUUUGGCUGGGGCUGAGCUGGUCGUCGGUUACGGUCGCAUGCGACACGUGCUGGUGGCUGGUUUGGUUUCGGUCUGGCUCCCUCGCUCGCCCUCGGUGUAAAAGCUAGUCAUCUAUCCGACCCGUCUUGAAACACGGACCAAGGAGUUUAGCGUAUACGCGAGUCAUUGAGUGUAAAACUCAAAGGUGCAUUGAAAGUAAAGGUAUCCCUUGUGGAGCUGAUUGCUUUUUUCGUGUGUUUCGGUUCCCUGGAUCAGUAUAGCCUCGUCCUAAUCUUUUUUUUGUUAGUUGAUGUAGUGUGUAUUCUUUUAGAUCAUUAUUAUUUUAAUUUCUUUCUGAUUAUAAUUAUUC
rnacentral:rRNA from 1 species